rnacentral:rRNA from 2 species
UUAAGCGACUAAGCGUACACGGUGGAUGCCCUGGCAGUCAGAGGCGAUGAAGGACGUGCUAAUCUGCGAUAAGCGUCGGUGAGGUGAUAUGAACCGUUAUAACCGGCGAUUUCCGAAUGGGGAAACCCAGUGUGUUUCGACACACUAUCAUUAACUGAAUCCAUAGGUUAAUGAGGCGAACCGGGGGAACUGAAACAUCUAAGUACCCCGAGGAAAAGAAAUCAACCGAGAUUCCCCCAGUAGCGGCGAGCGAACAGGGAGGAGCCCAGAGCCUGAAUCAGUGUGUGUGUUAGUGGAAGCGUCUGGAAAGGCGUGCGAUACAGGGUGACAGCCCCGUACACAAAAAUGCACAUAUUGUGAGCUCGAUGAGUAGGGCGGGACACGUGGUAUCCUGUCUGAAUAUGGGGGGACCAUCCUCCAAGGCUAAAUACUCCUGACUGACCGAUAGUGAACCAGUACCGUGAGGGAAAGGCGAAAAGAACCCCGGCGAGGGGAGUGAAAAAGAACCUGAAACCGUGUACGUACAAGCAGUGGGAGCCUCUUAAUGGGGUGACUGCGUACCUUUUGUAUAAUGGGUCAGCGACUUAUAUUCUGUAGCAAGGUUAACCGAAUAGGGGAGCCGAAGGGAAACCGAGUCUUAACUGGGCGUUAAGUUGCAGGGUAUAGACCCGAAACCCGGUGAUCUAGCCAUGGGCAGGUUGAAGGUUGGGUAACACUAACUGGAGGACCGAACCGACUAAUGUUGAAAAAUUAGCGGAUGACUUGUGGCUGGGGGUGAAAGGCCAAUCAAACCGGGAGAUAGCUGGUUCUCCCCGAAAGCUAUUUAGGUAGCGCCUCGUGAAUUCAUCUCCGGGGGUAGAGCACUGUUUCGGCAAGGGGGUCAUCCCGACUUACCAACCCGAUGCAAACUGCGAAUACCGGAGAAUGUUAUCACGGGAGACACACGGCGGGUGCUAACGUCCGUCGUGAAGAGGGAAACAACCCAGACCGCCAGCUAAGGUCCCAAAGUCAUGGUUAAGUGGGAAACGAUGUGGGAAGGCCCAGACAGCCAGGAUGUUGGCUUAGAAGCAGCCAUCAUUUAAAGAAAGCGUAAUAGCUCACUGGUCGAGUCGGCCUGCGCGGAAGAUGUAACGGGGCUAAACCAUGCACCGAAGCUGCGGCAGCGACACUAUGUGUUGUUGGGUAGGGGAGCGUUCUGUAAGCCUGUGAAGGUGGCCUGUGAGGGUUGCUGGAGGUAUCAGAAGUGCGAAUGCUGACAUAAGUAACGAUAAAGCGGGUGAAAAGCCCGCUCGCCGGAAGACCAAGGGUUCCUGUCCAACGUUAAUCGGGGCAGGGUGAGUCGACCCCUAAGGCGAGGCCGAAAGGCGUAGUCGAUGGGAAACAGGUUAAUAUUCCUGUACUUGGUGUUACUGCGAAGGGGGGACGGAGAAGGCUAUGUUGGCCGGGCGACGGUUGUCCCGGUUUAAGCGUGUAGGCUGGUUUUCCAGGCAAAUCCGGAAAACCAAGGCUGAGGCGUGAUGACGAGGCACUACGGUGCUGAAGCGACAAAUGCCCUGCUUCCAGGAAAAGCCUCUAAGCAUCAGGUAACAUCAAAUCGUACCCCAAACCGACACAGGUGGUCAGGUAGAGAAUACCAAGGCGCUUGAGAGAACUCGGGUGAAGGAACUAGGCAAAAUGGUGCCGUAACUUCGGGAGAAGGCACGCUGAUAUGUAGGUGAAGCGACUUGCUCGUGGAGCUGAAAUCAGUCGAAGAUACCAGCUGGCUGCAACUGUUUAUUAAAAACACAGCACUGUGCAAACACGAAAGUGGACGUAUACGGUGUGACGCCUGCCCGGUGCCGGAAGGUUAAUUGAUGGGGUUAGCGGUAACGCGAAGCUCUUGAUCGAAGCCCCGGUAAACGGCGGCCGUAACUAUAACGGUCCUAAGGUAGCGAAAUUCCUUGUCGGGUAAGUUCCGACCUGCACGAAUGGCGUAAUGAUGGCCAGGCUGUCUCCACCCGAGACUCAGUGAAAUUGAACUCGCUGUGAAGAUGCAGUGUACCCGCGGCAAGACGGAAAGACCCCGUGAACCUUUACUAUAGCUUGACACUGAACAUUGAGCCUUGAUGUGUAGGAUAGGUGGGAGGCUUUGAAGUGUGGACGCCAGUCUGCAUGGAGCCGACCUUGAAAUACCACCCUUUAAUGUUUGAUGUUCUAACGUUGGCCCGUAAUCCGGGUUGCGGACAGUGUCUGGUGGGUAGUUUGACUGGGGCGGUCUCCUCCUAAAGAGUAACGGAGGAGCACGAAGGUUGGCUAAUCCUGGUCGGACAUCAGGAGGUUAGUGCAAUGGCAUAAGCCAGCUUGACUGCGAGCGUGACGGCGCGAGCAGGUGCGAAAGCAGGUCAUAGUGAUCCGGUGGUUCUGAAUGGAAGGGCCAUCGCUCAACGGAUAAAAGGUACUCCGGGGAUAACAGGCUGAUACCGCCCAAGAGUUCAUAUCGACGGCGGUGUUUGGCACCUCGAUGUCGGCUCAUCACAUCCUGGGGCUGAAGUAGGUCCCAAGGGUAUGGCUGUUCGCCAUUUAAAGUGGUACGCGAGCUGGGUUUAGAACGUCGUGAGACAGUUCGGUCCCUAUCUGCCGUGGGCGCUGGAGAACUGAGGGGGGCUGCUCCUAGUACGAGAGGACCGGAGUGGACGCAUCACUGGUGUUCGGGUUGUCAUGCCAAUGGCACUGCCCGGUAGCUAAAUGCGGAAGAGAUAAGUGCUGAAAGCAUCUAAGCACGAAACUUGCCCCGAGAUGAGUUCUCCCUGACUCCUUGAGGGUCCUGAAGGAACGUUGAAGACGACGACGUUGAUAGGCCGGGUGUGUAAGCGCAGCGAUGCGUUGAGCUAACCGGUACUAAUGAACCGUGAGGCUUAACCUU